UAAUAAACAGGACAACCGGGCGAUCGGGAUACACCUAGUGUAAUGAAUACUGUGGUUGUAUGAUAAGCUGAAAUGGAUGAGGAAGAAAUGGAAAAUAUCACCAAACACGUGGGGUUAAAGAGGCAAAUCGAGGAGGAUGAACGUGUCAGGUGUUUGUGUCCAUAAAUGAGAAGUUUAUUGGCAGAUUUCAAAAUAAAGUGUAUGAAGUAUUAGCCCACGUCAGUGAUGGUGCCAGUGCAACAUGCUGGAACUGGAAACACAGGCACUGUUUGUCCUCUUAUUAAAUACUGUAACUGCACCCGCUGCAGGCUUGACUGAACAUGUUUCAGAUGUGAAUAUCUCUGAGGUUAGAUAAGGUCAUAUGUGAAACCUAAAGAUGCUGGAAAAAAAAUGUUUAUACAGCCUGUAUAAAAUAACAUUCUACCAUUUUACAUUGAAAAUUCAUAUUCACUCAGUGCUAUCUUUAGCCGUGAAGCUGUGAAAUGACACAGGAUCUUAUGCAAAGUCUUUUUCCUCUUAUAAAUCCCCCCUGAAAACUAAUUUUAUCUCAUGGCCUUCUGCUAUCUCACAGUAAUUUGUUUAUCAUCACAUUUUACCUCUUGUAGUUUUAAUUUCAUUAAUUUUUUCAACCCUCUGUUACUGUAUUACACUUGUUUUCCAAUAAAUCACUUUGUUAUUUUUGAAAAAUUAUGUCAAAAUAAAAGUCAUUUAUCAUCAUUGUAAUUGGAUAUUAUUUUGUUUCUGUUUCUUAUUUUGAUAGUAUGUUGAAAUUAUUAAUCUUUUUAUUAUUAUUAUUAGAAUUAUCAUUAUUAAGGAUGCCAUGCAAUCUAAAUCUUAAAACUGCUGAUAUUAUUGAUUAAUGAGUCUACACAAGGAAAAUGUUCACAUAUUCAUAUUUUUUCAUGAUGCAAUAAAAAAAUCUGAAACAUAUUCAAAUGACUGCUGAUCAUCCAAUUAGGAGCUGACUGAUUGCCUGUCAUGUGCUGACCUUUCAAAGUGCAAUUUAAAUCCAUGGAUGUCUCAGCUCCAAGAGGAGCAACUGUCAUUCUUGGCCGUGGCUCUUCCUGUACAGCGAAUGUGAGCCGAGCCCUCCUCCAUAUCCCCUGUAUUAAAACCUCACAAUAUGCCCAACAACUGCACAGCGGAGGAGAGAGAAUGCAUGGUAUGUGCUUACAGCAUCACAACUCCUCUCCGCUCUCACAUGGACUAAUAUGGCCAACCCAAGGGGGCACAGGACAAUAAACACAUGCAGCACAUUGCUACUGUAAGCACUGCGUGUUGUUUUUUAUUAUUAUUUUGAAAGGAUAAAAAAACUUCCAGUGAUCAGAUCAUAUUAUUUGGUAUGUUUUGUUUGGGAAAUUCUUAUGACUAACAGUGUGUAUCCGAGCACAGCUGUCCCGUCUUUGUUCGUCUGUGUGUUAUCUUGAAUGUUUUGACAUUUAGUGUGACACAAGAAAUACAAACAAAUCUUACGUGUGCUCUAUAUUUAGUCUGUCUUCAAGCAGGUGCUUGGCAUUCCCACCAGAGGGCAAUGGUCAGCUGCAGUUGAACUUCAUUUGUGCAUUUACGUACUGUAGCUUUGCACUGCUGAACCAUCAAACUAAGACUGUCAUGCACUCCAGUUUUAUAUUGUGUAUAAUUACCUUCUAUAGCCAGUGAGUGGAAACAGCAAUGAGAUGUUUUUUUACGCAAUAAACGGACACUUUGAUUUA